rnacentral:rRNA from 1 species
GUGAGGAAUCUUGCGCAAUGGGAGAAAUCCUGACGCAGCAACGCCGUGUGAGUGAUAAAGGCCUUCGGGUCGUAAAGCUCUGUUGGGAGGGACGAAAAGCAUUUGAAUAAUAAGCAAAUGUCUUGACGGUACCUGCUGAGGAAGCACCGGCCAACUCCGUGCCAGCAGCCGCGGUAAUACGGAGGGUGCAAGCGUUGUUCGGAAUCAUUGGGCGUAAAGGGCGUGUAGGCGGCUCGUUAAGUCAGGUGUGAAAUCCUUCCGCUCAACGGAAGAAGUGCACUUGAAACUGGCGAGCUAGAGUACGGGAGAGGAAGGUGGAAUUCCUGGUGUAGAGGUGAAAUUCAUAGAUAUCGGGAAGAACACCGGUGGCGAAGGCGGCCUUCUGGCCCGAUACUGACGCUGAGACGCGAAAGCGUGGGGAGCAAACAGGAUUAGAUACCCCGGUAGUCC